UACGUAGGGGGCAAGCGUUGUCCGGAUUUAUUGGGCGUAAAGAGCUCGUAGGUGGUUCGGUAAGUCGGAUGUGAAAUCUCCAGGCUCAACCGAGGAAUUGCGCUCUAAACUACUGUGCUUGAGGAAUCUAGAGGUGAGCGGAACUGAUGGUGGAGCGGUGAAAUGCGUUGAUAUCAUCAGGAACACCGGAGGCGAAGGCGGCUCACUGGGGAUUUUCUGACGCUGAGGAACGAAAGCCAGGGGAGCGAACGGG
rnacentral:rRNA from 1 species